rfam:Saccharomyces arboricola H-6 chromosome XI, whole genome shotgun sequence.
AAAUAUAAUGAUGAAAAAAUAUUUUAUCAUACAGUUAUCCCUGUCUGAAUGGGUAAUAAUAGGUAACCUCUCAUAUGUUGAUAUGUGUAUUUCUGAUAUAUUU